rnacentral:rRNA from 1 species
ACGCUCGACACCUACGAGAGGCAGCAGUGGGGAAUAUUGCGCAAUGGGGGCAACCCUGACGCAGCAACGCCGCGUGAUUGAAGAAGGCCUGGUUGUAAGAUCUUUAAUCAGGGACGAAAAAUAGACGGUACCUGAAGAAUAAGACUCCGGCUAACUACGUGCCAGCAGCCGCGGUAAUCUGAGCGGGCUGGCAAGGC